CGCUGGCAUACUGCGCACAUGACAAAAGAUGACCUUACACCCCUUUGUCCAGUAAAUUACCACCGUCCCUGAAUGUCGGGACAAGGACGUGCGAGGGAUAAAAGCAAACACCCAUGACCGUAAAGCUGUUUUUCUUUUCAUUCAUUUUUAAAUGCCCGGCAGUGCAAGUUGUAACGUAUCCCGCUUCGUGUCCCUUUGAAGUUGCAGUAAUAUCUUGCACAAAGCAAUGCAAUGUAAAAAAAAAAUGUUUACGGUGAAGGUGUCACCUUAAAUGAUCCCCGACAGCUGUUUGAAAUGAAGUAGCUGGAGCUUCGCACCCGUGACUGAUUUGCUCUUUGUCCUUAGCACAGUGGAACCAAGCGACUCGGUCAAAGCACAAGAACGUCUAAAGGGCAGCACGCGGUGGCAGCAAGGGGCCAUCUAUUCCUAGGAAAGAUGAUCAGUUGCGCAAGAAGCAGGACUCCCAAAAAUACAAUCGCCUGCAUGUUCUGAAGCCUAUGGUGCCGAUGUUUAAUUUGCCACAAAGCAAAGUAAAGUACAAUUCUCUAAAUGACCUUCCUUCUACUGUACAUCCAUCCAUGCAUUAUCCAAACCGCUUAUCCUAACAAUGGGUCGUGGGCGUGCUGAAGUCGAUUCCAGUUUGUUCAAGCAGUAGGCGGAGUACACCCUGAACUGGUUUCUUGGAAUGUUGUAAUCCUGAUAAGCCCGGCGCAGGAUUUGAAGGCACAGUUCGGAAGGAAUUGGAAUCUCAGCUAUGACCUUCAGAAGUACAGUAAAUGGGUGGAUAGAACUGGAUGCCUUUGUGCAUUAGGUAAUGUUGGAACAGAAAAGGGCCCCUCCCCAAACCAUUCCCACGUAACGCAAGCAUACGAUUGUCCGGAAUGUCUUUCUAAGACCAAAAGUAAAGAUUCAGAGGAAGACGCGGAAAUGAUGGACGAAUUUAGUCAUUGCAACGACAAUGCAUUAAAUGUUUUGAUUUUGUCUCCUGAAGGACAACCGCUCAGCUCAGAUGCUAAGGGAUGCCACAGAGCUACUUCAUCCCACUUGCGUGGCUGUUGAACUUGCAACCCACCGAUACAAUUGCACCUCUCAAGACACUUUUUCGAAAUGAGUUCCAUGAGAACUGAGUGGAAACAUUCAAAUAACACCAAAAGCAUUAAGGGCUCUAUUUUUGUAAACAAAGCAGCGACAAUGCAAAAACGCCUGUUUGCAACUGUGCCCGUAGGCCGAAAGAUGUGCCUCUAGAAACGGAAUUUCAAUCGUUUAUAUUUCAAUCAUUGCACUGAAAAGCUGAUUUUUAUCAUCUCAAUCAGCGGUCGACAGGUAGUCCGCAAACUGGAGGGGGGAAAAAAUUAUGUGUCUGGGUGCUGGUUAUUGAUAUUAAAUCUUUUUGUGUUAGUGUACACUGUACCCUAACCAUCCCAUUGCCCCCCCCUCCAAAAAAAAAGUGGAAAUGUUUAUUGUAUAAAGGCUGACGGAAGGAAAAACCCUCCACGGGAGCCGCAAGCAUCAAGGCCGCGUUGGUCGUCCUUCAGCACUCUGAAGCAAAAAUAUGCACGAGCCAGCACGACUCUGUUCUAAACUUAAGACCUCAAACACCCUCCAAGACUUGCAGUCCAUUUUAGAGUCGGGGUCGGGUUACAAGCUGGAGCAGAGAUAGCCGAGGGAACACAAGCACCGCAUGAACUGGCAUGGAAGAAAAAAAAAAAAAAAAAGACUAGAGGAUCGCAAAGCAGGAGCCAAGAAAGACAGAAAGGGGGCUCGGAGAUAAACAGAAACAGCGAGGGUGGAGCGUUUCACGCCAAGUGUUUUCAUUGCUUCCAUCUUAUUGCACUCCGCCGAAUUAACAGAGAAAGUGAAACUAUUCAUUCCCGGCAAUUUAUUGCUGUGCUGCCUUUUUCUCCCAUCACAUUAUUAUUGUGUUUCUAUUCAGCCUCACAGUAGGCCUCAAGUAGUUCUUAAUCAAAUUAUACAGGCAGUCAGAAAGCGCUGGCAGUAAUUAACUCUUCCACCUGAAUGUGGAUCACAAAUUACACAGUCAGUCCUCUUGUGGCAGACUGAAGACCGCGUGGAGACUUUCAGGAAGUUCACACUCCAAAAUGGGGUGUGUGUGUGAAUGUGUGUAUGAGUGUGUGCCAAGCAGACAUACUGGCAAACAGGUGUCAACCUCAAGGCCCGUUGCAUCACUUUAUGCGGCUCGCGAAGGCAUAUCAAAUGUCUCGUUCAUAUUUCUUCCUGACCGGCUUCACGCUUACUAUUUUGACAGAAAAUUGCAAAUUUUCUUCAUUUUUAACUGCUAUUAAAAACACCUCCCCGCCAUUCCCCCCCAUCAAAUCCCUCGUUUACUUAAAAAUUAACACACUGCAAUUUUACAUGACUCGUGAUUUCAAAAAUAGAAGUGUUUUUGACAAUACACGGUAGAUAACAAUUCAUUAAAGGGCGGUGCUUCGAGUUACAACUUUAAUUUGUUCGGAGAGCACAAGCGUAACUCAAGACACUCUCAACACAGUUCACUUUUAUUUAUAUAGCGCUUUCACAACAGCUACAGCUGUAACACAACAGAGCGCUUUACAGUCCUAUUGCAAAUCGUCUUUCGAGUGAAGUGAAUGGAAUUGCCAUUAAUACGGUUUAAUAUCAUUUCCAUUGCAGCUUCCAGCCCCCCCCCCCC